UCAGAUGUAGAAUGUCAGCUUCUGAAAAUGAAGCAGACCCCUCAGCUACCCCCUGAAGCAGAAGAAGUGGUUGCAGCUUGAUGAAAUCUGUUUCUGAAGUUCAAGCCAGCCACAUGGCCGAUCAUACAGGAUGGGGUUUGAACACUGCUUUGCCAGAUGCACAUUCAUCCCAACAAUGCUUAUGGCUAGCACGUGCACUUAUUUUAUUGCAGAUGGAUAACAUGUCUGAAAAUAAGUCUUGGGUCUGAAAGGCAGCAGUUUCCUGCAUGAUUUUAAGCUUGUUUUUUUUCCCCCAUUAAAUGAGCUGAUCAAAAAGUACACAAACUAGCUUGCAUGUUCAUUUUAAUCCUCUCAUCUAUUCUCCUCCAUCAUGUGAUCUUUUCUUCCUCAAAACACCCAACAGCUUUGUACACUGUCAGCAGUAAGAAACCAAGUGCAGGACUCUCCAGAAUUUCACAGGCCUUUGACAGAAGGCAGUCCUGAGCGUUAUUGCACACUCGUUUUCUCUGCAAGAGCCACCCUGCUCUCUCAAAACAUCCAGUGAAGACUCUUGGAAAACAGUCCUUUCCCAUAAACUCUUCCUGAGAGUAUAUUCCUUCAUUUGUAGCACAAAUUUGUCAACAAAUUUGCUUGCUCUCCUCAUCAUUUUCUCCAAUGCCCUCUGAAGAGAUAAACUGCAAACCCUGCAACUGGCUUUUAUUUCCUCAUUCAGGCACUGACCAGAAAGGCAUGGGGAUAUUCUCUUGUUGAGUCAUCAGCAUAAAAUGCUGACUGUCACAAUGGAGCAAAGAGAUGGCAGUUCCUCUAAAAUCUGUGUUCUGGGAAGUGGCCAACAGAGCUGGGAUAACCUCUCCUAGCUGAUUAGUGGGAGUAUCUUCUAGUACAUCUGAAACAUCACAUUUUUCAGCAGAGGCUACAGGAAGGAAAUCAAGGUGGGUGUUGGAUCAGGUGUUCGUGGCUCUGUGGAAUCACCAGACAACCUCUGCAUCACAGGAUUCUACUACAAGCAGCCACCAUGGAAGACAGGGUCUCAUUCCUGACAGAGUAUGGAGGUGUUUUCUAGAGACAACAAGGAGCCUGGAACCUGAGCUGACCACGUUUGUAUGCUGGAGUAGAUGAGGGGUGAUGGCUGCACCCCUGCCCCACUGCUGGAUGUGGAAGGAAUAAUCCUUGCUUGGCUCUCAAGAGAGCCAUUUGUUCCCUCUCUCUUCAGUGGCAGGAGGUACCUCACCAUAAAUCACAGUAUCGAAAGGCACUGUAUUAUGUCCAGAAAUUUAAGGGGUUCUAGGAUGUACAGGAAGUUGUCUGCA